rnacentral:rRNA from 1 species
GGGACACGUGGUAUCCUGUCUGAAUAUGGGGGGACCAUCCUCCAAGGCUAAAUACUCCUGACUGACCGAUAGUGAACCAGUACCGUGAGGGAAAGGCGAAAAGAACCCCGGCGAGGGGAGUGAAAAAGAACCUGAAACCGUGUACGUACAAGCAGUGGGAGCCUCUUAAUGGGGUGACUGCGUACCUUUUGUAUAAUGGGUCAGCGACUUAUAUUCUGUAGCAAGGUUAACCGAAUAGGGGAGCCGAAGGGAAACCGAGUCUUAACUGGGCGUUAAGUUGCAGGGUAUAGACCCGAAACCCGGUGAUCUAGCCAUGGGCAGGUUGAAGGUUGGGUAACACUAACUGGAGGACCGAACCGACUAAUGUUGAAAAAUUAGCGGAUGACUUGUGGCUGGGGGUGAAAGGCCAAUCAAACCGGGAGAUAGCUGGUUCUCCCCGAAAGCUAUUUAGGUAGCGCCUCGUGAAUUCAUCUCCGGGGGUAGAGCACUGUUUCGGCAAGGGGGUCAUCCCGACUUACCAACCCGAUGCAAACUGCGAAUACCGGAGAAUGUUAUCACGGGAGACACACGGCGGGUGCUAACGUCCGUCGUGAAGAGGGAAACAACCCAGACCGCCAGCUAAGGUCCCAAAGUCAUGGUUAAGUGGGAAACGAUGUGGGAAGGCCCAGACAGCCAGGAUGUUGGCUUAGAAGCAGCCAUCAUUUAAAGAAAGCGUAAUAGCUCACUGGUCGAGUCGGCCUGCGCGGAAGAUGUAACGGGGCUAAACCAUGCACCGAAGC